GACGAACGCUGGCGGCGUGCUUAACACAUGCAAGUCGAACGGAAAGGCCUUUUCGGAGGUACUCGAGUGGCGAACGGGUGAGUAACACGUGGGUGAUCUGCCCUGCACUCUGGGAUAAGCCUGGGAAACUGGGUCUAAUACCGGAUAGGACCGCACUUCAGUGUGUGUGGUGGAAAGUUUUUUCGGUGUAGGAUGAGCCCGCGGCCUAUCAGCUUGUUGGUGGGGUAAUGGCCUACCAAGGCGGCGACGGGUAGCCGGACUGAGAGGUUGGUCGGCCACAUUGGGACUGAGAUACGGCCCAGACUCCUACGGGAGGCAGCAGUGGGGAAUAUUGCACAAUGGGCGCAAGCCUGAUGCAGCGACGCCGCGUGGGGGAUGACGGCCUUCGGGUUGUAAACUCCUUUCGCCAGGGACGAAGCGUUUUGUGACGGUACCUGGAGAAGAAGCACCGGCUAACUACGUG
rnacentral:rRNA from 1 species